rnacentral:rRNA from 1 species
CUACCUAAUGGAGAGUUUGAUCCUGGCUCAGGACUCACACGCGUGCGGUAUGCCUAACACAUGCAAGUCCGAACGAAAUCUCUUGGUUUUCCAAGAGUUUAGUGGCGGACGGGUGAGUAACGCGUAAGAACCUACCUUUUGGUUGAGGGAUACCAACUGGAAACGGUUGCUAAUACCUCGUAUGCUGAGAAGUAAAAGAUGGAAACAUCGCCAGGAGAGGGGCUUGCGUCUGAUUACUUAGUUGGUAGGGUAAAGGCUUACCAAGACUAUGAUCAGUAGCUGGUUUGAGAGGACGAUCAGCCACACUGGGACUGAGACACGGCCCAGAUCCCUACGGGGAGCAGCAGUGAGGAAUCUUCCGCAAUGGGCGAAAGCCUGACGGAGCACUAUCGCGUGGAGGAAGACGGCUCGUGAGUCUGUAAACUCCUUUUGUCAAAGAAGAAAGUUGACGGUAUUUGACGAAUAAGCAUCGGCUAAACUCUGUGCCAGCAGCCGCGGUAAUACAGGGGAUGCAAGCGUUAUCCGGAAUUAUUGGGCGUAAAGCGUUUUGAGGUGGGUCACCAAGUCUGCUGUGAAAGAUCAGGGCUUAACCCUGAAUAUGCGGUGUCACUUGAUAUUUGUCAAGUGAAUACUUUUGUUUUACAAGAGUAUGAAACUAAUGGCCUUGAGUACGGUAGGGGUAGAGGGAAUUCUCGGAGAAGCGGUGAAAUGCAUAGAUAUCGGGAAG